AGCGAACAUUGGCGGUAGGCUUAACACAUGCAAGUCGAGCGAGGCGUAAUAGUCGAGCGGCGAACGGGUGCGUAAUACAUGGGAAUCUACCUCGAAGUGGGGGAUAACGUCCAGAAAUGGACGCUAAUACCGCAUAAUCCAUAUUGGGAAAGCGUUGCAGCGCUUUGAGAUGAGCCCAUGGCUGAUUAGCUAGUUGGUGAGGUAAUGCUCACCAAGGCGACGAUCAGUAGCUGGCCUGAGAGGAUGACCAGCCACACUGGAACUGAGACACGGUCCAGACUCCCACGGGAGGCAGCAGUGGGGAAUCUUGCGCAAUGGGGGCAACCCUGACGCAGCCAUACCGCGUGAGUGAUGAAGGUCUUCGGAUUGUAAAGCUCUUUCGGCGGGGACGACGAUGACGGUACCCGCAAAAGAAGUCACGGCUAACUUCGUGCCAGCCGCCGCCGUAA
rnacentral:rRNA from 1 species